GAGGGCAUAGCUCAGUGGUAGAGUGUGUGCUUAGUGUGCACGAGGUCCUGGGUUGAAUCCAUGGUACUUUCA
rnacentral:tRNA from 1 species